CCUACGGGUGGCUGCAGUGGGGAAUAUUGCACAAUGGGGGAAACCCUGAUGCAGCAACGCCGCGUGAGUGAAGAAGGUUUUCGGAUUGUAAAGCUCUGUUAGCAGGGAAGAGGAAGGACGGUACCUGCAGAGGAAGCCACGGCUAACUACGUGCCAGCAGCCGCGGUAAUACGUAGGUGGCAAGCGUUGUUCGGAAUAACUGGGCGUAAAGGAUGCGUAGGCGGUUAAACAAGUUAUAUGUUAAAUAUAUAGGCUUAACCUGUAGAAAGCAUAUAAAACUGUUUAACUAGAGUGCAGGAGAGAAAAGAGGAAAUGGUAGGGGAGAGGUGAAAGGAUUAUAGAUUAGGAAGAAAAGCAGGGGAGAAGGAGAAUUAAGAGAAUGGAGAUG
rnacentral:rRNA from 1 species